AGGCAGUGAUGACUAAAAUUAAUACCAUCAAACUAUGAGAGCUCUCACAUUGAGCUUGUUGAUGCUAUCUAAAUCAUCACUUUCUGAGCCU